rnacentral:lncRNA from 1 species
GGUCUGAGUGGAGUGUCUGGGCUCAAAGGGUACAGAGGAGAGCCGGGACCUUACGGGCCUGCGGUACGAUGGCCAGUCAUUUAAUGAUUUUGAUGAUGACACAGCUGUACCAUGUGGUAACACAUGCAAACUACAAUACAUGUUUUGACCAGGGUCUCUCCCCCCAGGAGCACCAGGAGAUGCAGGGCCCAUUGGGAAAAGGGGUGAUGCUGGAACACAGGGAGAAGGCCAACCUGGAUAUCCAGGGUUCCAGGUCUGUAUUCUUCAGCAGUGAAUUUCUGAGCAAUAAGUAGGCAUUCAUGUUUUGAUUCUUAGUUACAAGUAUGAUUUAUCAACAUUGUCUGGACAAAGUGUCCAUGGACCUCAUUUGCCUAUUUCAGAUUUCUUUCAUCUUCUUACAGGGAUACCCAGGUCUGAGAGGACCUGCAGGUUUAAAGGUCUGUCUGUCUGUCUGUCUCUCUAUCUCUAUGUCUGAGAGGACCUGCAGGUUUAAAUGUCUGUCUGUCUGCAUCAAGGUUUGGAACCAAAUUAUUUUCCAAUAGUUCUUUCUGAACAAAAACACUAUUCUUUUUGUUCCAUUCCACUGUUACGUCCAGAAAAAUAAAGAUGUGAACCGGUUUAGCUCAGUAGAUUACUUUGUCAAUCAGUGCGGAUAGAGCAGGCAAACUAGUUGUUUACAUACGUGAUGGACAGACAAGUGUAGCCUAUGGCGACUGAAAUUUUGCAGGGGCGAGAGAGCGAGAGAAGGUUGAGGAGGAGGCUUGAAGCGCUGGGCAUCUUGUUAUGACAUGCGUUAUCUGAAUUAAGUCCACAGAAUUAUAUCUAGGAAGAGGACCUUCUAUGGAGAAACUUUGAAUGUCCUUUGAGCUAACAAGCUUGUGUGCGCAGAGCGGCAGCUGAAUUAAAAACACCUUUCCUUUUUGUAGUUAACAUAUCCAAUGUGAAAUGUGAUAACUCGGCCUAUAGAAUCCUUAACUAGUAUUGCAAAAGUUAAUUAUUCUCCAGCUAAUUAAAUCUCUCUCCCUAUCUUCUGAAUCAUGCUUGUAAUGUCAGUACUGCUUUGGAGGGGGGAGGGGCUACAGUGUAGCCUAUGCUUUGGAGGGGGGAGGGGCUACAGUGUAGCCUAUGCUUUGGAGGGGGGAGGGGCUACAGUGUAGCCUAUGCUUUGGAGGGGGGAGGGGCUACAGUGUAGCCUAUGCUUUGGAGGGGGGAGGGGCUACAGUGUAGCCUAUGCUUUGGAGGGGGGAGUGGCUACAGUGUAGCCUAUGCUUUGGAGGGGGGAGUGGCUACAGUGUAGCCUAUGCUUUGGAGGGGGGAGGGGCUACAGUGUAGCCUAUGCUUUGGAGGGGGGAGGGGCUACAGUGUAGCCUAUGCUUUGGAGGGGGGAGGGGCUACAGUGUAGCCUAUGCUUUGGAGGGGGGGAGGGGCUACAGUGUAGCCUAUGCUUUGGAGGGGGGGAGGGGCUACAGUGUAGCCUAUGCUUUGGAGGGGGGGAGGGGCUACAGUAGCCUAUGCUUUGGAGGGGGGGAGGGGCUACAGUAGCCUAUGCUUUGGAGGGGGGGAGGGGCUACAGUAGCCUAUGCUUUGGAGGGGGGGAGGGGCUACAGUAGCCUAUGCUUUGGAGAGGGGGAGGGGCUACAGUAGCCUAUGCUUUGGAGAGGGGGAGGGGCUACAGUAGCCUAUGCUUUGGAGGGGGGGAGGGGCUACAAUAGCCUAAACACACACACACACUAGUAAAGAUUUUCAGCUUGUUGGUAGACACUGGAAGAAGUUUUUGAGUGACAGAGGGAGCACUUUGCAUUUGUGGGACUCAAAAAAUGCCUGGAAAGUAAAAUAACGUUAUAAACCGGUUCCCAUGCUUUUAAAAUAACCAUUCUGUUCUGGAACAGUAUUGAUCACUUUCACUCCGGGUUCCGUUUCUGUUCAUUGAAAAUGUUUUCGGUUCUUUUCCAUGAACUGGUUCCAACUCCUUGUCAGGCCCAAUGAACUUGAAUUGCACCACUAACCAUUGAUAUCCAAACACCUUGGCUUUUAUCAACAGCCAGACCAGUAUAAGUGUCUUUGAGGAAGCAGUGACUCUGGCAUAUGUAUAAAGAGAAAAAUCUCUCCAAUUACUCAAGCUGUGUUGAAAACUUUUCAGU